rnacentral:lncRNA from 1 species
ACCAAUAUAUCACUUUUCCGGUGAAUUUUCUGUUCUAUUCCUCGUAAUAAAGAUCCCAUAACUGCAAGUAAACAAAAUUAGAUUUACAAAGUUAACCAACCAAUCAUAUGAUAGUAACCAAAACAACAUAAACAAGUAACCAAUAUAGCUUUAGUCAUUAAACAAAACAUCGUUAAUCAAUAACCAAUCCAGCAUUAGAUAGUAACCAAGACAGCAUUACACAAUAUAAUAGUUAGAAAGCAAUCAAUAAAUCAUUAGACAGUAACCAAGACAGUAUUAUACAGUAAACAGCAUGUUGCAAAAAGGUAACCAAUGUAAACUGGUUACUUAUUAAUGUUGUCUUGGUUAUCUUCAUGCAACAUGUUGGUUACUGUCUAAUACAUUGGUUACUAACCAUGUGCUUACCAAUCAUUAGUCAGAAAUAUUAUGCAGUAACCAAAACAACAUUAGUCAGUAACCCAUUUAGCAUUAUAAAGUAACCAAUACAUCUUUAGACAAUAUAUUGGUUAGACAGUAACCAAAACAUCAUUAGACAGUAACCAAGACAUCAUUAGACAUUAAACAAGACAUACAUAAUACAGUAACCAAGACAGCAUUACACAAUAUAAUAGUUAGACAGCAACCAAUAAAUCAUUAGACAGUAUCCAAGACAGCAUUAUACAGUAAACAGCAUGUUGCAAGAAGGUAACCAAUGUAAAUUGGUUACUUAUUAAUGUUGUCUUGGUUACCUUAAUGCAACAUGCUGGUUACUGUCUAAUACAUUGGUUACCAACCAUGUGCUUACCAAUCAUUAGUCAGAAAUAUUAUGCAGUAACCAAAACAACAUUAGUUAGUAACCCAUUCAGCAUUAUACAGUAACCAAUACAAUGUUGCACUGUAACCAAUACAACUUUAGACAAUAUAUUGGUUAGACAGUAACCAAAACAUCAUUAGACAGUAACCAAGACAUCAUUAGACAGUAAACAAGACACACAUAAUACAGUAACCAAGACAGCAUUAGACAGUAACCAAAACAUCAUAAGACAGUAACCAAGACAUCAUAAGACAGUAACCAAGACAUCAUUAGACAGUAAUCAAGACACUCAUAAGACAGUAACCAAGACAUCAUUAGACAGUAACCAAGACAUCAUAAGACAGUAACCAAUACAUCAUUAGACAGUAACCAAGACACUCAUAAGACAGUAACCAAGACAUCAUUAGACAGUAACCAAGACAUCAUUAGACAAUACCCAAGUCAGUUUUGGUUUCCUUCAUGCAACAUGGUGGUUAUUGUCUAAUGCAUUGGUUACCAAUCAUGUGGUUACCAAGCAUUAAUCAUUAAUAUUAUGCAAUAACCAAUUAAGCAUUAUACAGUAACCAAUUAAACAUUAUACAGUAAACAAUAACAAUAUUUAAAUUAACACACCUUUAAAAUUCGUUGAGUUGGAAUUAUCUUCUGGAUAAGCACUUGAGCUUCAUUCUUAACAGGGACAUCAAAAUCAGAAUCUAAUUGCACUUCGGAAUGUUUGAUAUCACUAUGUAUCACCAAACUACUAUCAUUCUUACUCGAU